AAAAGAAAUUUGUAGUGGCGAACGGGUGAGUNGACNUGAGAAUUUGCCUUUAGGAAGAGGAUAACAAUUAGAAAUAGUUGCUAAAACUCUAUAUGCCAUUCGGUGAAAAAAGAAAUUUGCCUAAAGAGAAGCUCGCGUCUGAUUAGCUAGUUGGCAGGGUAAAGGCCUACCAAGGCGACGAUCAGUACCUGGUCUGAGAGGACGAUCAGCCACACUGGAACUGAGACACGGUCCAGACUCCUACGGGAGGCAGCAGUGAGGAAUUUUCUGCAAUGGGCGAAAGCCUGACAGAGCAAUACCGCGUGAGGGAUGAAGGCCUAUGGGUUGUAAACCUCUUUUCUUAAGGAGGAAGAUCUGACGUUACUUGAGGAAUAAGCAUCGGCUAACCCUGUGCCAGCAGCCGCGGUAAUACAGGGGAUGCAAGUGUUAUCCGGAUUCAUUGGGCGUAAAGCGUCUGCAGGUUGAUAUUUAAGUCUUUUGUUAAAACUUCGGGCUCAACCCGAAAUCUGCAAAAGAAACUAUGUAUCUUGAGUAUGGUAGAGGUAAAGGGAAUUUCCAGUGGAGCGGUGAAAUGCGUAGAGAUUGGAAAGAACACCAACAGCGAAGGCUUUUUACUGGGCCAGUACUGACACUGAGAGACGAAAGCUAGGGGAGCAAACGGGAUUAGAUUUCCCCGGUAGUCUAGCUGUAAACGAUGGAUACUACAUGUUGCGCAUUUUUUAAAUGUGCAGUGU
rnacentral:rRNA from 1 species